AUUGAACGCUGGCGGCAGGCCUAACACAUGCAAGUCGAGCGGAUGAGGGGAGCUUGCUCCUGGAUUCAGCGGUGGACGGGUGAGUAAUGCCUAGGAAUCUGCCUGGUAGUGGGGGAUAACGUCCGGAAACGGGCGCUAAUACCGCAUACGUCCUGAGGGAGAAAGUGGGGGAUCUUCGGACCUCACGCUAUCAGAUGAGCCUAGGUCGGAUUAGCUAGUUGGUGGGGUAAAGGCCUACCAAGGCGACGAUCCGUAACUGGUCUGAGAGGAUGAUCAGUAACAGUGGAAAUGAGAAGCGGUCCAGCCUCCUACGGGAGGCAGGAGGGGGGAAUAUUGGAAAAGGGGCGAAAGCGUGAAACAGCCAUGCGGGGGGUGGGAAGAAAGUCUUCGAAUUGUAAAGCACUUUAAGUUGGGAAGAAGGGCAGGAAGUUAAUACCUUGCUGUUUUGACCUUCCCAACAGAACAAGCACCGGCAAACUUCGU
rnacentral:rRNA from 1 species